GUUUCCUCUCUGAAACUAAAAAUUUUAUACUGGAUAGAAUGAACUUAUUUUAUAACCACUUUUUGCUGAACUGAAAGUAGUAACUUUAAUACUUGUGUUCUCUUUUUAAAUUUUCACUUCUAUUAGUAAAACGUUUAUAUAAUCACAUAAAUUUCACAAAUGACAGCAGUAUUUAAAAAUACGCUCCCUAAGCCUGAUGAUCCAUGCAUCUAAUCAGAGGGAAUUCUCUCCCUGAGGAAUUACUCCACAGAACCACAGCAUCCAAGAGAAGAAAAAAUCUACAAAAUCCAGAAUUUUUUUCUGUCAUACACGUACACAAAUGAAUUUGUUCACAAACACGGUUUGUAGGGGAUAGCUGUGCUGAGCUAGUAGUUUAACUCGACAUCACAAUAUAGAACACUCCUGCUGACUGCUGAGCUGACCUUAAAAGGAACAACCCAGCUGCCCUUGUCCUCUGUGAGAGCAUGGGAUUACCUGACAGGCCAUUCAGGCAUGGCACUUGGGAGCAGAACUGAAGUCCAUACUUUAUGACUUACUGACCUGAAAUAACGAUUAAAUGCACUACUAGCAGCACUAUGUCCUAUUAAAAGGAACUUGGCAGUGAAUUGGUACAACAUCACAGCAACACAAUAAAUGACUGAUGAGAAGGCACAAAGAGUCCCCACUGUGCAGCUGCUAUACUACUUGGAGGGACAGGUGAGACUGAGCCGGUGUCCUCCCUGUCCUCAAUACUCGAGGCACCAGUUCUCGCCUGGUCUCCAGUCUUUAGAAUUACAAGGUUUUGUAUGUGGUAUAUUUUUCCAUGGCAAGUUAUCAUAGUAUUCUCACAAUCAAAGGGACCUUUGACCAUACAAAUAUAAACAAUUGUUAGAAAUUCUAAGGCAGUUUUUCCUCUGGAGGAUUAGAGCUUUAAAAUAGAAGGAAGUACAUCACUUUUCUGCUGGACAGCUAACAAAACGGUUUUCCCAUGAAA